CCUACGGGCGGCAGCAGUGGGGAAUAUUGCGCAAUGGGCGAAAGCCUGCCGCAGCGACGCCGCGUGAGGGAUGAAGGUCUUCGGAUCGUAAAGCUCUGUCGGUAGUGAAGAACGAUAGAGGUAGUAACUGGCCUUUAUUUGACGGUAAUUACUUAGAAAGUCACGGCUAACUACGUGCCAGCAGCCGCGGUAAUACGUAGGUGGCAAGCGUUGUCCGGAUUUAUUGGGCGUAAAGCGAGUGCAGGCGGUUCAAUAAGUCUGAUGUGAAAGCCUUGGGCUCAACUGGAGAAUUGCAUCAGAAACUGUUGAACUGGAGUGCAGAAGAGGAGAGUGGAAUUCCAGGUGUAGCGGUGGAAUGCGUAGAUAUAUGGAAGAACACCAGUGGCGAAGGCGACUCUCUGGUCUGCAACUGACGCUGAGGCGCGAAAGCAUGGGUAGCGAACAGGAUUAGAUACCCGUGUAGUC
rnacentral:rRNA from 1 species